GACGAACGCUGGCGGCGUGCUUAACACAUGCAAGUCGAACGAAGUGGCGAACGGGUGAGUAACGCGUAAUCAACCUGCCCUUCAGAGGGGGACAACAGUUGGAAACGACUGCUAAUACCGCAUACUGAAGGAGGGGAUUGCGUCUGAUUAGCUAGUUGGGGGGGUAACGGCCCACCAAGGCGAGGAUCAGUAGCCGGUCUGAGAGGAUGAACGGCCACAUUGGGACUGAGACACGGCCCAGACUCCUACGGGAGGCAGCAGUGGGGAAUCUUCCGCAAUGGACGAAAGUCUGACGGAGCAACGCCGCGUGAGUGAUGACGGCCUUCGGGUUGUAAAGCUCUGUUAGUCGGGAGGGGUUACCGGAAUAGAAGGCACGGCUAACUACGUGCCAGCCGCCGCGGUAAUUC
rnacentral:rRNA from 1 species